rnacentral:lncRNA from 1 species
GCUCAUUUUUAAUUUUAUUUUCUAACUGUGGAGUGCUACCUCAUGCCUUUGUUUAACCCGGCUUUGGUUUGAACCCACGAAUCCGUAUUCGAUAUAUAAAGCGAGUCGGUGAUUCUUAAUAUACACCUAGAUACCUCAUAUUGAAAUGCAUCAUAUACAAAAAUUUGUGCACAGCAAAUCAAACUAUAACUGUUUUCAAGAACACAUACAAAACUCUAUUAUUACCAGAUUUUACAACUAGAAUUCAGUUUAUUAGAUGUGUUGACUUCAGUUUAAUUAUAAUUUAUAGCUUAUUUCGCAAGAUAGAAAUUUGAGCUGUGUUGUUUUAAUUCAUCUGUUCAGGUGAUAUUGUUUUUGAGAAGGGAUUAUUUUAUGCACUAAGCAUAUGAAACAUGUGAUUUCUAGCGCACUACAUGUAAAUGCAAAUGUUAUGUUUGAAAAAAGGCUUGCGUCGUUCACCCAGGAUUCGGUAUCAGACUUUGGUGAUAUAAUUAAGAAAUAAUUCAUGGAAGCCAUAGAUUGUUGGAAAUUUACACAUGGCCUAGGCCGUGAUAUUCGAAUUUUAUCCCGAGAUUGUUGGAAAUUUACACAUGGCCUGGGCCGUGAACAGCGAGGGAUAAAAUUAACGAAUAUCACGGCCCAGGCCAUGUGUAAAUUUCCAACAAUCUAUGGCUUCCAUGAAUUAUUUCGAUUCUAAUAGGACAAAUACGGUCAUUAAAAAACUGAAGCGAGGGAGGGUAUGCUGUGUGUGUGGCUGUUCUUUUUUACUCCCUGUUAGAUAAAGCUCAAAUAUCUUUAUAAAUAUGUAGCUUGCGAAGUUUAUUUCUUGAAUAACUGAUAGAAAAAAUCGUUUUAAUUCUUUAAAUUCUCAAACCCAACAUUUGCCAUUUUUAAUUUACAUGUUUUUCUCGUAAGCUUCGGUCAAAUCCAAAGUCGACAUUUUGUAACUAAGGAGCCGCCAUGUUGACUUGCUGAAAUGAGUAAAUAU